CGCCCUGCGUCCGGCCCACCGGGGUCCAGAACCCUGCCCAGGCACUCAGGGCCACCCGAUGAGCCCUAUAUCUUUAGGGGCCUAGCGCGACCAGGGCCCUUAAAAAAUAAAAUAAAAAAAUAAAAUAAAAAUAAAAAAGCAGCCGCAAAGUAAUGCUGGGAGGAAGUGACGGCCGGUGGUCACUUCCUCCCAGCUCCCUCCGCACGGGAGGGAAGAGAGCCAGGCUGCGGUAGCCAAGC